rnacentral:rRNA from 1 species
AAUGGCGACCGGCGCACGGAUGAGUAACACGUAUCCAACCUGCCGAUAACUCCGGAAUAGCCUUUCGAAAGAAAGAUUAAUACCGGAUGGCAUACGAAUAUCGCAUGAUAUUUUUAUUAAAGAAUUUCGGUUAUCGAUGGGGAUGCGUUCCAUUAGAUAGUAGGCGGGGUAACGGCCCACCUAGUCAACGAUGGAUAGGGGUUCUGAGAGGAAGGUCCCCCACAUUGGAACUGAGACACGGUCCAA